rnacentral:rRNA from 1 species
CCCUUAGAUGUUCUGGGCCGCACGCGCGCUACACUGAUGCAUUCAACGAGUCUAAAACCUGCUCUGAUAGGGGUGGGUAAUCUUUUGAAUGUGCAUCGUGAUUGGGAUAGAUGAUUGCAAUUUUUCAUCUUCAACGAGGAAUGCCUAGUAAACGCAAGUCAUCAGCUUGCAUUGAUUACGUCCCUGCCCUUUGUACACACCGCCCGUCGCUCCUACCGAUUGAAUGAUCCGAUGAAUAUCAUGGAUUGAGGAUGUAAGCAGGUUCGCCUGUCUUCAUCUUCGAGAAGUGAAGUAAAUCUUAUCAUUUAGAGGAAGGAGAAGGCGUAACA